AUGAUUGUUCUCGAGGUGGGCAGCAAUGGUGACGAUGUGGUUCUCGCAGUGUUUGUAAGGUACGUCGCCUCACAUCCGAGAGUUAGGAGGGUGGAGCUUCUUCGUUUUUGUGUCGGUGUUUGUUGUGUUGCUUCCAAUUUCCGCUUCUUCUUCAUUGUUCCUGCGAAAAACAUAAAUACUUUGUACAUAUUGUUAGUUCUAUAUAUUUAG